UGACCAAGGCCCAAUGUUUAAUUCUUAAGU
rnacentral:piRNA from 1 species